UGCUUUCAAGUCUCCCAAGCGAUUUCAAGCUCAACCACUCUCGUGUGCUCGGGAUUCAAAGCUCACACCCAACCCUACGCGUCCCACAUCGGAAGAAUCAACAUCUCCCACGCUUCCAACGGCAAAAAGAUUCUUCCGGGUUUCAUUGUUCAUAAGUGCUAUAUUUGCUUUCUAGAGCUUUUAUAUCCUUUUGUACACUCUUUUAUUGUGGUGCUUGUUCCAGUCAAGGGACUUGGAACAAGGGAAAGGCGUCCCAAGCCUAAGAGAAAUUGAGGGUUUUAGGGUUUGUUGUGAGCCCGGUGUAAAACAACGAGUUGGGUAGUGAACUCGCAAAACUACCGUACUGUAAUCUUGGAUUAUAGUGGAAAUUCCCAAAGGCGCUUUGGGGAGUGGAUGUAGGAGCGGUGAAGGCUCCGAACCACUAUAAAACCGUGUGUUUGUGGUUGUCUCUUCUUAUCCCUUUAUCUUUGCUUUAGUUCAUAUAUUUGUGUGUUUUAUUUUUAAAUUAGCCGAAAAGUUUUAAAACAC
rnacentral:lncRNA from 1 species